rnacentral:lncRNA from 1 species
CUAGAUAAAAUGUAAGUCGCUCUUGAUAAGAGUGUCUGCUAAUUGUCAAAAAUGUAAAAUGUAUUUCGAUUAAUCUUUUCUACAGCAACUAAAACAUGACAACUUUAUUCUAGUAUUUAGAUCAGGGUAUUUUGUUUUAAGCAUCUUAAUUUAUCAUUUUACUGCAGUUGGCUAAAUCAGGGUCACACAGAGUGUUUCUUGGUAGUCUUAAACAAAUCUACUUUGAAACAAAAGUAUACACCUCACACACAUGGUUAUGAGCUUAAAAAAGAAGACACCUAUACCAUGUCAGAUGUACAGUAUAAUUGAAAUGUGUUAAAUUUUGAGUUUGCAUCACCAUAUUUUACACUUUAUAUACAUCACAGAAUAAUUAAAUAUAACAUUUGACAUAGAAAUACUGGAUUUUCUGCGGCUUUUCAAAAAUAAUGUUGAUUAAUUAUUAACAAUAUUCAUAACAUUCCACCCAUGAGGCCACUAGGUAAUUUGACUGAAGGAAAGGGCUACACAGAUGAAUGGACUAGAAAGUUGAUCGACUGAUCAUGAUGCCAUGGAAAUUAUAGAAACUUGCUGAUAUUGUAUUAAGACCAAACUUGAGUAACACUGAAAUGGAUAUAAACAGUAACAUUACUGCUAGAAGUAGGCUUACUGUAUAUCGACAGAAAGCACCAAACCUUGGUUCUAAACUGGCACCCUGACUAGACCACCAUGGUCAUAAGACAACACAACACAAGGUCACACGCCAACAUUAUUCCCUCACUGAAACCCAGAGGUGAAGCCACGGCAUGGCCUGGCAAUCAGGCUGGCUUAAAAUAUAUAAAAAACUAUAUAUAUAAAAAAAUGAAACAAAUGAAUUUGAUUUGUUGUUUGUAUUGUCAUCUGACUAAUCAGAAGUGUUGAAAAAUGCGGUGCGACGUUACUGGGAUCUAAUUGGCUAUAUCACAAUCAAAUGGUAGCUAGCUAGUCACAAGUUAUGGCGAAACAAAGUUCACUCAUGCGCUUUUUCUAAAAGCCACAGAUGGAGAAUAAAGACAUAACACCUGCUCCACUACCUCCAUCGGCCGAGCCCGAUCUGGUCAGAGUCGUCGUCAGCCCAUGAGGAGGUUGCAUGGCUACUGCUUAGAGUUCCGAAGGCCAACUAGCUCACCAUCGCCUGGCGGUGCCUCGUCACGGUGAGCAUGACUUCACCCGUCCACCUGCGCGUUUGUCUGUAGUUGACGAACCACCCCCACACUACCAAACAUGCGAGAGUUCCCCACUACAGUGGUCAAUGGGAAAUCGCAGUGUUUCUCAUGGAAGUGGUAUGGACAGUUAUGUUUCACUAUAUUGGAUCACUCCAAUAUAUUGGUAUCACUCCGCGGCAGAGGGAUACAUCCGAGGGGAGGAUUUACAGAUUUACUCCCGUGUACACCUUUGUCACGGCUGGGGUCCGCCCCUAUAUAUAGACCCCAUGGCCACGACACACGUUUAAUUUCAUUUUCUUGGCGGACAUCCGAAUGGUUUGAGGUACAAACUUUCUGAAGUUCGCUUGGUAAGUGUAAUAUCUUGCGAGGAAGCAUACUCACUGGCUGUUUGCAGCCUGGAGCAGCUGGCCAGCCCCUCCUCGUGAGUGCUCCACUCGCUGCGUGUGGUUGAUCUGUAUCUUCCACCCGUGGUUUGUCGUGCUUGUGUUCCGUUCUCUGCUAAUUACCCUACACGGGUUCUCUGCUAAUUCCCAUACAGGGUUUUCUUGUUCUUUCUCCUGCAGAAUGUAAGAGUAUGGUGGUGGGCUGCCACUACGUUGAGACAUUAACUUUGGAGUUCCUUAAAACCCUUUCAUGCGUGGUCCACCUUCCCUGUGGCCGACAUGGUUGCUGUAUGGACAGUGGAGAGGACAUGGACUUCUCGUUUGUCAUGGCACUUUACUGCCAGCUGUUAACAUUUCUUAUUUUGUAUAACGGGUCAUUUAGGAUGGCAGUAGCGUUGUUGAUGAAAUGCAGUCAUAGCAGCAGAACUAGAAAGUAGUCUUGGGAAAAGAGGGUGGCAAAGAAGGGAGUUGCAAACAUAGGAUCUCUGCUCCAGUAUUCUCUUAGGGAGUUCUUCUUUAUAAUCCCCAUGAGAAGGACUGUCACCAGGAAUGUAUACAUUUCACUAAUUGUGGUUGUCCCCCCCACUCCUGUCUCUUUUCUCCUGUAGCUCCAAGGCAUAGUGAUUGGUCUCUACUAUGUCUCCCACCAACUCCUCUGUCAGAAACAACUUGAAGCACUCUGCCUCAGAUGGAAAUGGCAAGGGGUGUUGCACUCCAGACUGGGACUCCUCACAAACAGCAGGGCCAGGAGGGGUGAAAUGGCUGGCAGCCUUCCAGCUACCACAGAACUCCUUCAUCCACUAUCGGUCAGCCUCCAUCACCACCAGCAUCUUGAAAGGGAACUGGGACUUUGUCAGUGGACAAGGGGUCCUCUGUCACUGUCAGAAUCUGAUUCCUGGCUUUCAGACUCAGACUCGUUGUCAGAUUUUUUUUAAAUCUCCAGAAUUUCUGCAUUUCUGAGUUGUCUCCUUUUGAAAUACAUUGUUAAUGCUACAGCUUAGCUCAUUUGCUACAUACAUUAACAACAACACUGAAUGGCUCAGAGUGGGAGUGAGAGGUUACCGUGAUUGACUGCCUGCACGCGCCAUUUGUAUCAAUAAAUCACUAUCAGAAUUUUUGUUGUGCUAUUAUUGAUAUAUUUACUAUUUUAUUCACGUUUUUCAAUUACUGGUGAUAAAUCAUGCAUUCCGAUUUUUGCAUAGAUUUUAAUGGGCACAUAGUAUGUGUGUAAAAUAAUGUUUUUAAGGUUGUACUGAUAAUGAGCUAAGCUAAUUCCAGCUAUGUGUGUGGAGCCAUGUUUGUUGACACAAUGCAUUCUGGGUUUCUCUUGAUCGUCUGUCGGACCAAAGAUGCUAUAACAAAAUGAGGUGAGUAAGGGUUCACUCAUUUUGAGAUCUUCAGGAAGUGAAUGUGGGAUGUGAACGAUGGUAGACGACACACCCCUUCAACAUGCAUACUAUAAACAGACCAAACUAAUCUUGUCUUCUCUUAUCUUUGGUUUCUGAGGUAAAAAAGCAUGGCUGCGCGCUGAAACUAAUCAUCAGAUUACUUUCGAUUUCUAGAAAGUGUUUUACUCAAUUAUUUUGAUCAAUGGUGAGCUCAUCCAUGAUGUGAUUAAUUAUACAUAGUAAUUGCUAUUAGCUAAUUCAUAGUAUAGUUUACGUCAGCUUGUGUUGCGUCAAUCUUUCCUCAGCACUAGGACAAAUGUAGCCUACAUUUUUCUGGUUAGGAUGAUUGUGUUAUGCUAUAGAUACUUCUGUGAACAUCUGAACAUUGCAUCCAAAAAUAAAC